rnacentral:rRNA from 1 species
UGCCUAACACAUGCAAGUCGAGCGGGGUAGCAAUAUCCAGCGGCGGACGGGUGAGGAAUACAUAGGAAUCUGCCUUUAGGUGGGGGAUAGCUUGGGGAAACUCAAGGUAAUACCGCAUGAUCUCGCAAGAGCAAAGUGGGGGACCGCAAGGCCUCACGCCUUUAGAGGAGCCUAUGUCUGAUUAGCUAGUUGGUGAGGUAAUGGCUCACCAAGGCGACGAUCAGUAACUGGUCUGAGAGGACGAUCAGUCACACCGGAACUGAGACACGGUCCGGACUCCUACGGGAGGCAGCAGUGGGGAAUAUUGGACAAUGGGCGAAAGCCUGAUCCAGCAAUUCCGCGUGUGUGAAGAAGGCCUUCGGGUUGUAAAGCACUUUAGGUUGGGAAGAAAAAACUUCUCCUAAUACGAGAAGCGUUGACGGUACCAACAGAAUAAGCACCGGCUAACUCUGUGCCAGCAGCCGCGGUAAUACAGAGGGUGCAAGCGUUAAUCGGAUUUACUGGGCGUAAAGCGUGCGUAGGUGGUUUCGUAAGUCGGAUGUGAAAGCCCCGGGCUCAACCUGGGAACUGCAUUCGAUACUGCGAGACUCGAGUUUGGUAGAGGGUGGCGGAAUUCCCGGUGUAGCGGUGAAAUGCGUAGAUAUCGGGAGGAACAUCAAUGGCGAAGGCAGCCACCUGGGCCUGAACUGACACUGAGGCACGAAAGCGUGGG